rnacentral:sRNA from 1 species
GCGGCCGCUUCCCUCCGCCCGGAAUGCUUCCGGGAGCGCACAGCUGCAAUGCCCGGGAGAAGGAGCGCUCGCCGUCUGCGGGCGCCGGGCGGAGAUCGGGCAGUCGACUUCCUUGGCGUGGUUCCAGACCCCCUGACGACACCAACCUCGGCGUCGGCACCGGACAGCCCCGUUCCGCCUUUCUGUGAGGAGGGCGCGGUGGCCGUACAGUCCGUGCCCCAGCGGAAGCUUUAGCUUGGACCUUGUGCAGUCGGAGGGAUUAGCAUAUCUGGGCAGAGGGGUGAGGGAUUGCUUCGAAAGGAUUUCCUAAAGAGAUAAAAUUUGAUGCUGGGACUCUCCUUCUUAGUACACACCGACUGAUUUGGAGAGAUCAGAAAAAUCAUGAGUGUUGCAUGGCCAUUCUCCUUUCCCAAAUUGUGUUCAUUGAAGAACAGGCGGCUGGAAUUGGGAAGAGUGCCAAAAUAGUGGUUCAUCUUCACCCAGCUCCUCCUAACAAAGAACCUGGCCCAUUCCAGAGUAGUAAGAACUCCUACAUCAAACUCUCCUUCAAAGAACAUGGCCAGAUUGAGUUUUACAGGCGUUUAUCAGAGGAAAUGACACAAAGAAGAUGGGAG